CAGGCUGCCACCUGCCCCCUCCAAUUGCAGAGGGGCAGGGGAAGCCUGGGAAGGGGGUCCCAGCUCAGCACAGGCAUGGGGGAAGCAGCAGCAGAUUGAGCUGCAGCAGGAGGGAUCUCAAAGCACCUGGGAAACAUUUCCUGGGCAGGGAGCAGCAGCUGGUGCUGAGCUCUGCGGCCUCUCCCCAGCCAAGCUCUGAGCCAGCUGCAAACCAUCCCAGAUCUCUCCUCCUGGAGCUGGGACAGGCCUUCUGCUUGGGAGCUGGACUCAGCCCGGGGACCAGAGGUCUGCGAGGGCCAGAUGCACCUUGAUGUGCCCUGCUGGGGACCAGCAGUCAGGGACCAGCCACCCGCCCGCUGCUGAGGGCUGCUCUGCUUCGCUCUGUACUUCGCUGUGCAAAGAGCAGGUUUGGUUUCAGCCUGUUCCUUUUUCUUCCUUGCAGCUCUUUUAUGUAUGCAGCUAGAACCCAUCCCUGCCUGCUGGCAGCUGCACAGGAAGCUUAGGGGCUGUUUAUGGUUUUUUUUUUCUCUCUCAUUUUACCAUGUGCCUGCUGGGGCCUGUUGUUCAUAGAUCAGACUUCAAACCACUGUCCCUGUGUUGCCAGGCUGUGGAUCUUUAACGCUGUUUCAGAAGGGGCAUUUCAGGACCACUGAAGGAAAGUGGGUCCAUCUCUCCCUGGUUUCCAGGUCCCCUCUCCCUGGUGCUGUGCCCACUGUUGCAGAGGCACCAGUUCUGCUCUGUUGGCCAACCAGGACAGAUUGGGAUUGAUCUGGCACUGGGGAGCUCUGGCCAGCAGUGCCCGUCCUCCAGAGGGGCCCAGGCUCCUGAAAGGCUCCGUUCCUCAGGCUCUGGGAUGCUGGGAGCAUCCCCUCCCCCAGGCAGGCAUCUCUCGAGGGGAUCUGUCAGGAGCAGCUCAAGCUUUGUGCGCCAGGAUCCAGGCUUAGCCCAGGUUUGGAUGUUGGCUGUUUCCUGGGAUAUAACAUGCUCCCCUCACUGCGUGCUGCCGUGUGCUCACCGUGGGGCAGGCUCUGGGCCAUGCAUGAGGUUCCUCCCCAGGCACACAGAGCUUUGGGGACUGAAAUGCAGCAAGGCAGAGCCUGUCCAUGGAGAUGAUUUGCUGCAAAGGAGCCAAAAGCUCUUCCCCUCCUAGCAGUGCUGGAAUGCCAGCCCAGAGCUGCUUCACGUGUCCCACAGGGGUACCAACCCCUCGUGCUGCCCAUGGGGCAUCCCAGUCGCGACGGGCAACAAAGGAGAAGAGGUGAUGGGGCAAAACCAAGGAGCAGGGCAGCGUUUGGGCUCAUGGGCACCCAAACCCCAGGUCCAUUGGAUGACCUUGGCACUUCACCGGCUUGUGCAGCGCCUCUGGGGGCCUCCCCAAGGCUGGGCUGUUCCUGCAGAGCGGGGCUCAGGUCCAGCGCAGCAGCUCCCUGCGGGAGUCCCUCGGGCAGGAGCUCGGUGCCCUGCG